GGGCCUAUCGUCCAACGGAAAGGGCGGCUCUCUUCUAAAGAGCAGAUCUGGGUUCGACCCCCAGUGGGCCCUCCA
rnacentral:tRNA from 1 species